rnacentral:rRNA from 1 species
GGUUAAGCGACUAAGCGUACACGGUGGAUGCCCUGGCAGUCAGAGGCGAUGAAGGACGUGCUAAUCUGCGAUAAGCGUCGGUAAGGUGAUAUGAACCGUUAUAACCGGCGAUUUCCGAAUGGGGAAACCCAGUGUGAUUCGUCACACUAUCAUUAACUGAAUCCAUAGGUUAAUGAGGCGAACCGGGGGAACUGAAACAUCUAAGUACCCCGAGGAAAAGAAAUCAACCGAGAUUCCCCCAGUAGCGGCGAGCGAACGGGGAGCAGCCCAGAGCCUGAAUCAGUGUGUGUGUUAGUGGAAGCGUCUGGAAAGGCGCGCGAUACAGGGUGACAGCCCCGUACACAAAAAUGCACAUGCUGUGAGCUCGAUGAGUAGGGCGGGACACGUGGUAUCCUGUCUGAAUAUGGGGGGACCAUCCUCCAAGGCUAAAUACUCCUGACUGACCGAUAGUGAACCAGUACCGUGAGGGAAAGGCGAAAAGAACCCCGGCGAGGGGAGUGAAAAAGAACCUGAAACCGUGUACGUACAAGCAGUGGGAGCACGCUUAGGCGUGUGACUGCGUACCUUUUGUGUAUAAUGGGUCAGCGACUUAUAUUCUGUAGCAAGGUUAACCGAAUAGGGGAGCCGAAGGGAAACCGAGUCUUAACUGGGCGUUAAGUUGCAGGGUAUAGACCCGAAACCCGGUGAUCUAGCCAUGGGCAGGUUGAAGGUUGGGUAACACUAACUGGAGGACCGAACCGACUAAUGUUGAAAAAUUAGCGGAUGACUUGUGGCUGGGGGUGAAAGGCCAAUCAAACCGGGAGAUAGCUGGUUCUCCCCGAAAGCUAUUUAGGUAGCGCCUCGUGAAUUCAUCUCCGGGGUAGAGCACUGUUUCGGCAAGGGGUCAUCCCGACUUACCAACCCGAUGCAAACUGCGAAUACCGGAGAAUGUUAUCACGGGAGACACACGGCGGGUGCUAACGUCCGUCGUGAAGAGGGAAACAACCCAGACCGCCAGCUAAGGUCCCAAAGUCAUGGUUAAGUGGGAAACGAUGUGGGAAGGCCCAGACAGCCAGGAUGUUGGCUUAGAAGCAGCCAUCAUUUAAAGAAAGCGUAAUAGCUCACUGGUCGAGUCGGCCUGCGCGGAAGAUGUAACGGGGCUAAACCAUGCACCGAAGCUGCGGCAGCGACGCUGAUGCGUUGUUGGGUAGGGGAGCGUUCUGUAAGCCUGUGAAGGUGUGCUGUGAGGCAUGCUGGAGGUAUCAGAAGUGCGAAUGCUGACAUAAGUAACGAUAAAGCGGGUGAAAAGCCCGCUCGCCGGAAGACCAAGGGUUCCUGUCCAACGUUAAUCGGGGCAGGGUGAGUCGACCCCUAAGGCGAGGCCGAAAGGCGUAGUCGAUGGGAAACAGGUUAAUAUUCCUGUACUUGGUGUUACUGCGAAGGGGGGACGGAGAAGGCUAUGUUGGCCGGGCGAUGGUUGUCCCGGUUUAAGCGUGUAGGCUGGUUUUCCAGGCAAAUCCGGAAAAUCAAGGCUGAGGCGUGAUGACGAGGCACUACGGUGCUGAAGCAACAAAUGCCCUGCUUCCAGGAAAAGCCUCUAAGCAUCAGGUAACAUCAAAUCGUACCCCAAACCGACACAGGUGGUCAGGUAGAGAAUACCAAGGCGCUUGAGAGAACUCGGGUGAAGGAACUAGGCAAAAUGGUGCCGUAACUUCGGGAGAAGGCACGCUGAUAUGUAGGUGAAGUCCCUCGCGGAUGGAGCUGAAAUCAGUCGAAGAUACCAGCUGGCUGCAACUGUUUAUUAAAAACACAGCACUGUGCAAACACGAAAGUGGACGUAUACGGUGUGACGCCUGCCCGGUGCCGGAAGGUUAAUUGAUGGGGUUAGCGCAAGCGAAGCUCUUGAUCGAAGCCCCGGUAAACGGCGGCCGUAACUAUAACGGUCCUAAGGUAGCGAAAUUCCUUGUCGGGUAAGUUCCGACCUGCACGAAUGGCGUAAUGAUGGCCAGGCUGUCUCCACCCGAGACUCAGUGAAAUUGAACUCGCUGUGAAGAUGCAGUGUACCCGCGGCAAGACGGAAAGACCCCGUGAACCUUUACUAUAGCUUGACACUGAACAUUGAGCCUUGAUGUGUAGGAUAGGUGGGAGGCUUUGAAGUGUGGACGCCAGUCUGCAUGGAGCCGACCUUGAAAUACCACCCUUUAAUGUUUGAUGUUCUAACGUUGACCCGUAAUCCGGGUUGCGGACAGUGUCUGGUGGGUAGUUUGACUGGGGCGGUCUCCUCCUAAAGAGUAACGGAGGAGCACGAAGGUUGGCUAAUCCUGGUCGGACAUCAGGAGGUUAGUGCAAUGGCAUAAGCCAGCUUGACUGCGAGCGUGACGGCGCGAGCAGGUGCGAAAGCAGGUCAUAGUGAUCCGGUGGUUCUGAAUGGAAGGGCCAUCGCUCAACGGAUAAAAGGUACUCCGGGGAUAACAGGCUGAUACCGCCCAAGAGUUCAUAUCGACGGCGGUGUUUGGCACCUCGAUGUCGGCUCAUCACAUCCUGGGGCUGAAGUAGGUCCCAAGGGUAUGGCUGUUCGCCAUUUAAAGUGGUACGCGAGCUGGGUUUAGAACGUCGUGAGACAGUUCGGUCCCUAUCUGCCGUGGGCGCUGGAGAACUGAGGGGGGCUGCUCCUAGUACGAGAGGACCGGAGUGGACGCAUCACUGGUGUUCGGGUUGUCAUGCCAAUGGCACUGCCCGGUAGCUAAAUGCGGAAGAGAUAAGUGCUGAAAGCAUCUAAGCACGAAACUUGCCCCGAGAUGAGUUCUCCCUGACUCCUUGAGAGUCCUGAAGGAACGUUGAAGACGACGACGUUGAUAGGCCGGGUGUGUAAGCGCAGCGAUGCGUUGAGCUAACCGGUACUAAUGAACCGUGAGGCUUAACCUU